GUUUUCUUUUCAAUAUUCAGGUUUAAGAAAAUGUCUUCGAGUACCGAAGAACGAAGAGAAAAUGGUUCUGCUGCUUCCGGUGGAGAUCAGAAUUCAGGAGGUAAUCAAGAAGGGAAUUUCGAGUGCAAUAUUUGUCUAGAUACAGCAAAGGAUGCAGUCGUUAGCCUAUGCGGACACCUCUUCUGUUGGCCGUGUUUACAUCAGUGGCUGGAAACUAGGCCCACUAGACAGGUUUGUCCAGUAUGCAAGGCUGCUAUAAAUAAAGAAAAAGUUAUACCUUUGUAUGGAAGGGGAGGUGCUAAACAAGAUCCAAGAGAUAAACUUCCGCCGAGACCUCCUGGACAGAGGACAGAGCCAGAAAAUAAUGCCGGACAAUCAUUUCCCGGAUUUGGAUUCGGAGACGGAGGAUUCCACAUGUCAUUCGGAAUUGGUGCCUUUCCAUUUGGAUUUUUUGCUUCUACUUUCAACUUCGGCGACGGAAGACCUGCUCCCACCCCUGGCAGUCCUGAAUAUUCUGAAGAACAGUUUCUAAGCAAAGUAUUUCUCUGGGUAGCUAUACUUUUUCUUUUCUGGCUCCUAAUAGCCUGAGAGACUGGACUCUGGAAGGUGUAGAUACAAAAGAGUAGCAUUGUCGGCCGUUGUAUCGUGCAAUUAUGGAAUGUAAGAGGCUCCAUAUCUUCCAUUGAUAUUAUAGUGGAGUGCGAGAGGAGUUUCGGAGAAAUUUAAUAUAUUUGUGGAACCCAUUUUGUCUGGAGGUUGCAUGUGCGUCGGAAGAUGGAAGAACCCGCUGGCUAAAUAAAUUGUAUCAUAUUUGUUUUAUGUUAAAUAAUGUUUUUGUAUAUAUGGUAAUGUGUAUAUUACAUCUACUCCGUCUGGAAUUCUUAUUUUACGGGAAACUUUGAGUAGCCAACCAGUAGAUUCCUCUUUUUUCUGAAAGUGUAACAUCAUUAUGGUAUUUGUACUCAUGAUUUGGCAAUGCCAACAUUCCAUUUAGAGAAAUUAAAAAUUUCGUACAAUUU
rnacentral:misc_RNA from 1 species